AGCUCCAAUAGCGUAUAUUAAAGUUGUUGCAGUUAAAAAGCUCGUAGUUGAAUUUCUGGUCAAUUUUGAUCUUGGCUUCGGUCGGGUCAAGGUUGGCCAUCCGUCUGCAAGCUAUUCUCGGCCUUUACUGGUUCGGAUUAGUGAGCUGACAUUUUACUUUGAAAAAAUUUAGAGUGUUUCAGGCAGGCUUUUGCCCGAAUACAUUAGCAUGGAAUAAUGGAAUUGGACUCAAGUCCAUUUGGUUGGUUAUUGGAUCUGAGUAAUGGUUAAUAGGGACAGUUGGGGGCAUUAGUAUUUAAUUGUCAGAG
rnacentral:rRNA from 1 species